UUUUUUAAAUUUAUUUAAAUAAAAAUCCCGCAAAACACCCCGAAUCCUUCGUCGGCGCUCCUCACCCAUCCCCUCCGAAUCCUUCAUUCGCGGCGCCUCUCGCCCUUGCACCGCCGUACCCGAAGCUCCAUCACACCCUUUCCCCAAUCUCUCCGUCACACCCCUUCCCCAAUCUCUCUCUUUCAGUUUUGACGCCGAUGAAUUUCGCCACCCUCUCGACGCCGUUUUCUGCCGCUGCUCGCUGAAGCUCGUCAGCACCGUCGCCGCUUCUAUCUCUUCUUCUCGUCGCCGUUCGUUCAGAGACAGAGAUGGCAAGCUUUCUGUGAAGGAACUCCAGCCCGCUGAUUCUGAUCAAAUCUAUUCUCAGGCAGCGAAUCCUUGAGAAUUUGAUUGGUUUGUGAAGGGUGUGAUAUUGAAUUAUACAGCCUUCAUCUCGAGGUCGGUCCUUUCUUUUUUGUUUAGUAGGAGUAGUUAAAAAAUAUGGAAGAAGAUAACUUGCAGCGGCAAUGGUCCCUCAAAGACUUCGGGAUCAGAAAACCUCUUUGGCAGAGGAAAAUUUGGCAGAGUCUACAUUGCGAGAGAAGUCAAGAGCAAAUAUGUAGUUGCAUUGAAGAUUAUAUUCAAGGAACAACUUGAGAAGUACAGACUUCACCAUCAGGUAAGGAGGGAGAUGGAAAUACAAUCCAACCUUCACCACCCAAACAUCCUACGACUAUACACGGCUGGUUUCAUGAUGCCGAGCGUGUUUUCUUGGUUCUUGAAUAUGCCCAUAAUGGUGAGCUCUACAAGGAGCUUAGAAAAAGAGGCCACCUCACUGAGAUGCAAGCAGCCACGAGAUGUGAGAGCCAUUUCAUCGUCAGCAGAUGGAUCAUGCAUCUAUACUGCAGAUGGGAAGAUUAGUAAUGUUUUUUAACUUCAUGGGCCGGGCCGGGCCGGGUUUAAGUAGAACUAGACUCGGCCCUAAAAGACCACUGGGUCUAUUUUGACUCCGACCCGAAGUGAUCUGAAAAUAAAUUGGGUUAAACAGGAUCAAUUUGAUAUAA